UACGUAGGGUGCAAGCGUUGUCCGGAAUUAUUGGGCGUAAAGAGCUCGUAGGCGGUUUGUCGCGUCGAAUGUGAAAACCCUGGGCUCAACCCCGGGCCUGCAUUCGAUACGGGCAGACUAGAGUUCGGUAGGGGAGUCUGGAAUUCCUGGAUGUAGCGGUGAAAUGACGCAGAUAUCAGGAGGAACACCGGUGGCGAAGGCGGGACUCUGGGCCGAUACUGACGCUGAGGAGCGAAAGCGUGGGGAGCAAACAGG
rnacentral:rRNA from 1 species